rnacentral:rRNA from 2 species
UGACGUGUUUUUUUUUGCUUUUCUACGUUUCUUUCCGUCCUUGUUAGUUGCAACCCGCAGUUAAGCGUGCUUGGGCGAGAGUAGUACUAGAAUGGGUGACCUCCUGGGAAGUCCUCGUGUUGCACCAC